rnacentral:lncRNA from 1 species
GUCAUGUGAAGAAGGACAUAUUUGCUUCCCCUUCCGCCAUGAUUGCGAGUUUCCUGAGAUCUCCCCAGCCCUGCAAAACAGUGAGUCAGUUAAACGUCUUUCCUUUAUAAAUUACCCAGUCUUGGGUAUUUCUUCACAGCAGCAUGAGAACAGACUAAUACACUAGCCUUUUACAGCCUUGUGAGAUUUUUGGAGAAGCAGCACAGUGGUGGGUGAUCUGCUGGGCCUGGGGCUAGGGGAGACUGGCUGCACCUUCCUCUGGCUCCCUCUGCCUCCAGGGUGGGCUCCAGGUCUCCUUCAGGGAAUGCUGCUGGAAACUACCCAGCAAGGCCAAGUCCUGAUUUUACAGAUGGGCACGAUAUGUGUCUAAGGCGCUAUGGCCCGCGAGUGACAGAGCGAGGACUACAGCUUAGGUCGUUAGAGCUUUUUAAUUUUCCAUGCCAACCACCCCCACUGCCUUCAGAGAUGGAGUCAGGCAGAGAGUGCUAAGAGUCAGAGUGGAAAGGAGGACUUCUGCGCUGAGAACACAGAAGGUUCACCACCAGGAAUGCUGCCACAGUCUCAGGAGUAAUUUGCAUCAAUUCAAUAAACGUUUAUCUGGAAACAUCCAAGAGUCAGAGGAAGAGGAUCAUUCGGUGACAGCAACGUCAGAAUGAGAAUAGAAAACUGAGGGACGUGAGCGAAGAGGUGUUUACUGGGACAUAGCCCCUUUCAGGGUGGGAACCUUUAAUAGAAUGGAAUUCUAAAGAACCUGAAGUCUUCAGAAGUGUACAAGACUGGUGUUACUCAAUAUUUAGUGUUGCUUUUCCAAUUUGAAGCCAGGAUGCUGGAGGAAGAUCCAAGAUCCAGGGAAUAACUUUGAGUGAUUGUAACAGGAGAGAAGAGGGACUCCUGGAGGUCCACAUGAGGUUAGUUCUGAAUGGGCUAACGAGUAAAAUAAGAAACAAUUUUGCACAAUACCUUGAAUGCCAUUGUGUGUUCAUGGUGAUCCAAUACUAAGACUUUCCUAUUGGUAAUAGCCUGCAUUUAUAUACCUUCCGAGAUGGUAAGGGUGUCCCUAAAGAGUUGCUUGUGGAUGUUCUAAAUAAGUUUUAAGGUACAAUGAAGUGUCUGGGGCAUUUCUGGCCAACAACACAAGAGAAGGGGUAAUGGUCUAGGCAAGGGCA